AGAAGAAGCAGCGCCUGGGGGAGCAGAGGGAGCGCUCGGCGAGCCCGCAGCGCAGUGCGCGGCCCAGGCUGGAGGAGGUGCCCGGCGGCCAGGGGCGGCCCGAGGCCGGCAGGCCCGCCUCGGAGGCGGCCGACGGGAAGGAGGCGCUGCGCGGCCGGCGCGAGGGCCUCGGGGCCGCGGGCGCGCGGGAGGCCGAGGCCAAGAGGAGCAAGUUGCACCUGUGAGUGUCAUGGAGUUUGUGAUCCAAGGGAACAGUUCUCAACUACUGCUGCAAGGACUUUCCCAUAUUACAUCAAUGAGAGACCUAAAAUUCCUAACCUGUCAAUCUUUCAUUUCAAUACUAUUUACUAUAUUAAAAAGCUCACACAUCAGUUUCAGAGAAGAGGGGCAGGAAGUAGGAAAUCAAGCACUAUUUGAGAUGGUGCAGUUUUGUCUUGUUUUUAAGGUUAACAUGGUUAAUUUACAUUUUUAAGAACCAGUGAACAAGAAGGCUCAAGCGCUACUCUGACAAGCCACCUGCAGGCUGCAGCUGCCUCCAGCCUACCAAUUUGCACCAACAGUUGCCUUGGAACACCAGCCGAAGCCGAGGCAGGGAAGCCAAGGCUGGGAAGCCAAGGCUUGGAUGGAAGCAAUGUCUCCUGCAGACCCCAGGCAGGGAGUCCUGUGGCUCACCUGGAAAAGCUUCUGAAACUUUGGCUAGCACAAGGCUCUCCACCAGAAGCCAGCCCACCAUCCCCACAGCAGGGCAGGCGCCACCAGAAGCCAGCCCACCAUUCCCGCAGCAGGGCUGGUUUGCUGAAAUUCAGUCCAGUUGUUUCCCUAAGUGUGUAAGUUCAUAUCCCAAUUUAUAUUUUUUCCACC
ensembl:3prime_overlapping_ncRNA Gm29254 predicted gene 29254